UUGUAUGGUGCUGUCUUUCUCAGAUUUGCCUGCCCUUAGCCUCUUAGUUGAAGUGGUAGUUGUUUUGAUUCCCAAAUAUAAAUGAGCAGCCUCAAAGACCUGGUUUGUGGAGAGUCCCUGGAACUCCUCUAUAACAAUGGAUGGGUUAUGGAAUUUGUAGAGCGGUUAGAACAAUUUACUGUAGAAUUUUGACGCCCCUGAAAAUUCUUUUUCUUCAUCAACAACGGUCAAGGUCAACAAUGGAGGCCUGUCGGGGCAGUCUUUUCUAAACAACAUCAAGAAUGGUAAACCUAUAGAAGAAGGCGAGAAGUAAGUGAUUGAAGGCUGGAGGAAAUUCAUUGGAAGCAGUUGAAAAGGAAAGGACAUAAAUGACACCAAUCUGAGGUCAAUUUUGUUGGAAAUUUGUAGCAUCUUUUGUAUUUUAUGGCCGUUUGAUUCCAAACUUUAAAAAUUAUUUAAUAAUUUAUAUUUUAUUACUUAUAUUAAUUUUUUUAGUUUAUUAGU